rnacentral:rRNA from 1 species
GACGAACCGAGCGAACGUUGUUCGGAAUCACUGGGCUUAAAGGGCGCGUAGGCGGGCUCGCAAGUCUGUGGUGAAAUCCUCCAGCCCAACUGGAGAACGGCCGUGGAUACUGCGGGCCUCGAGGGAGGUAGGGGCGUGCGGAACAGAUGGUGGAGCGGUGAAAUGCGUUGAUAUCAUCUGGAACUCCGGUGGCGAAGGCGGCACGCUGGACCUCUUCUGACGCUGAGGCGCGAAAGCCAGGGGAGCAAACGGG